rnacentral:rRNA from 1 species
UGGGGAAUAUUGCACAAUGGGCGCAAGCCUGAUGCAGCCAUGCCGCGUGUAUGAAGAAGGCCUUCGGGUUGUAAAGUACUUUCAGUCGGGAGGAAGGUGGUAAGGUUAAUAACCUUAUCAAUUGACGUUACCGACAGAAGAAGCACCGGCUAACUCCGUGCCAGCAGCCGCGGUAAUACGGAGGGUGCAAGCGUUAAUCGGAAUUACUGGGCGUAAAGCGCACGCAGGCGGUUGAGUGAGUCAGAUGUGGAAUCCCCGGGCUUAACCCGGGGAUUGGCUCUGAUACUGGUCAGCUAGAGUCUUGUGGGAGGGGGUAGAAUUCCAUAUGUAGGGGUGAAAAGCGGAGGGAAGUGGAGGAAUAACGGUGGCGAAGGCAGCCCCCUGGGCAAGGAAUGACGGUCAGGUGGGAAAGGGUGGGGAGCAAAAAGG